rnacentral:lncRNA from 1 species
CUGGCAGGGGCUGGGGGAUCCCCCAAUACCAGGCCUCGCCAGCGGCGAGGGAAACGGGGACCCUCCUUCCCGAUAGACACCAAGUCGCGCACCGCGCUCUGCCGGAACGGGAUCCCUCCCUUCCGCCGCGUCGUUUCUCUUCUCCACAAGGUGGUAGGAGACCGACGAGUGUCCACGACGACCAGGCAGCUGUCGCCGGACGGGAGGGGAGCCAUUAGCGACCGGGAAGAAUGCGAAGGAUGCCGGCGGCAAAGAAGCGCUAUUGUGUAAAUUUUAAGUCAAAAUAGGGGGGUUUACGAAAAUAUUUGGAUCGCGAUUAAUAAUCGCGAUCCGACUCAGGAGGGUUUAUGAAAGUAUUGUGUAGGCAUUUUUAUAAAAAAAAACCCCUAGUUGUGAAGGGAUUUUAUGAUACAACGCCUCGACCUCACCACGGCUCGAAUCCCUGCCAGCUGCCGGCGCGGGUCGAGCUCGAGCAGGUCUCCGCGGAAGUCCCCUCCAUCGCCGCUUUCCUCCUCCCAUCCCUCUUCCGUUCGACUUCCCCGGUGUAGCAGCCCAGUUGGCCCCGCGUGGAGGACUGGAGGUUGAGGAUGACGACGACGUCUUCGGGCAGCUCCUGGUUUGAGGCCGCUGUCAUCGACUUCGUGCUCGCGCGCGGCUGCCGGCGGCCGCUGCUGCCAAGCCUGCUCCGCGCAAGUCAAGGGGCAGCUCUCGGCCCCUUGGUGUCAAGCGCUGCGUGCGUACUGGGGGCACCACCCUGCCGUGCUUAUCUGCAAGCUCUGCGUCGCCGGCGGAUUAGAGCUUCUUCUCUGGUGGUGUCACCAGCGGAAGCGAGACCUCAUGAUGCUCCUCAUCCUCCCUCGAAUUUCUUCUGAAAAUAAGAAACAGGGGCAGCUUCCAAAUUGGCAUACUGAAUUUUGCUAUCAAACUGACAACGUCGGUUAUCUGUUCUCAAAUUGAGAACAUCAGUACACAAGCUUUUCAAAUUGAUGUGAGAAGUCGUUUCAAAAAAAAAAUCGUUUCAAAAAAAAAUUUGAUGUGAGAAUUGAGAUUGUUACUAAACAAUAUUGAAUGUCAAUCACUUAAGUGUUGUGAAUUGUGAGUGUUGUAAACUGAGAUUACUUACUGUUGGCAAUUUGAGAUCAUGUAACUAAUGUUGUCAAGAGAGGAUAUCACUGAUGAAACCAAAGAAGAAAUGUUCUUUGAAAGUCUUUGUUUGGAUGCAUAGACUUAUACUGAAGCGACAUCAACAAACUGAGGCAAUUACAAUAUUCGCAAUCACAAAUUGACACAAUAAUCACAACCUCAAUUUGACAAAGAUCUUAAUCCAUAUUGAACCACAAUCUGAAUUCACAUCAAUUUGCAAUCUCAAAUCAACAUUCAGUCAGGGUACAAGUUAUAUUAUCUUAAGCAGAUCAAAAGAAGAAGAAAAAGGAGUUGGUCUAAAUAGAGCCACAGCCUACAACAGAAAAUCAAUGAUCAUCACAAUGUACACUUCACAACUGAACAUCUUCCUCAUCCAAGCACCACUUUGAUUGCACCAUGGCACCAGGCCAUGUUCGUAAACUGAAACAAAAACAAAAACAACCCCAUAUGAACUCAAACUGUAGAUAAUUGUCUGGACCUUUCUGUUUGGUACUGGUGCAGGCUUCAGUUGAUGCUCCAGCUUCAAAGGCAUCAACAUUCAGCACUCAGUUUGCAAUUUAUAGCCUAAAAUCACUGCAUUUUUUUAAAAAAAACAAAUACCAAUCUGACAUGAGAAACUAGCAAGGGAAGUGCCAAUCAGAGCUCAUCUCAAAAUCCUCUUGCAUUGGUACUUUGAUAGGCCUGAUUAAAUUGUGAAACUUAUCACUUGACAAGUAGGUAGGAAUAUAUAAUUGCGUUGCGUUUCAGCCCUUCAAUCGCAUGUUCAGGCUAGUGUUAUUUUGGUUAACUGUGCAAAUAAAGUUGUAAAUAGAAGGCGCGUGUUGUAACAUAAUGUUGAUUAUCCAGAUACCCUUAUCAUCUAAGAGCAUAUGCAAAUAUUUUCUCCUGGUUUUGCAGUCUGCACCUGUCAGUUCAUAUUCCCCUCUGAUAGUAGUUUAAUACAACAGAUCAGUUCAGCCUCUGCUGUCAUAAACGAACAGAUUGGGUUAGUAGAUAGCAAUUCCAUGCAUAUUACACAUGAAUGAUGGAUCAUGAAUUCAGGAUUAACCAAAUUCAAAUAAACAACCUUGCAGUAAAAAGAAGAAAAAUGACCAGUGGAAUAAAGUUGCAGCAAAUUCAUUUGAACCAGCACCACAAUGAUUAAAGCACUAAUGCUGCUUGAUGUUUUCUAUAAAACUCAAUAUAACUCCUGUGAACAGCAAAAGUAUGGAUCUCGGUUGUUUGCCCAGCUAGCCUCAGCUUCCUCAUUCAACUAUUGUCAACCUUUUUGUCAUUUUUACUUAUUGUUAUGAACACAAUUAAUUAUAGCUCAUUCUUCUGUCAACUUUUUGUUUCAUUUGUAAAUCCUUUUUCCCUUCAGAAAGGCAUAAGUAUAUAUUGGGAGAUUUUAGUUCAAUGUUUCUGGUCGAAUAAAAUAUCUUUUCUACAAUAUAGACGUGACCAACACAUAACCAAGGGAUACCGAUUAAUUCUGAGGGAGUAACACGUGUACCACUUAGUUUUCCAAACACAUUUUUACAGAACUGUAGUAAACAUGUCCGCACACCUUAGGAAUGAAUAAAGUAAUUGCGAUUCUAUUUCACCUACAAGCAGCCACGCGCUGUCCGGUGCUAAGGUGGCUUGCGGUCUCCAUCUCUGGUGAAAUGAAACGCGGUGCAGGCCGAGACGCAAGUAUAUAUUCCAAACUGCCAACUGAUAAACAUAUUCUUACCUGACCGGUGACCGACAUUUUUGAUGAGCCGAACCUUUUGCUCGUUAAUUUCAUAUCCUUUUGCUUUUCUUUAAUGGAAUUGGAACCCACGGUUUACUUUUUUUGAAACGAAGGAACCCACGGUUUACGAACAAGCAGCUGAUUUAAAUGGAUGCCCUGCGUACCUAUGUCUACAUAUGUUGUUGUUUUUUCUCUUAUUUUUCAUAAUAUAUAUUUUUCUUUUCUGAUCUUCCACACUUGCACCACCCACCCAGUGUCUAGAUUAGCUAUUUUCUCUCUUUUUCGGAACACAGUACAAAUAUAGACGCUCACAUGUGCGCACAGCACAAUCGAAUUGCAUAUGUUAUAUCCUAAUUAGAAAAAAUUGAACUUCAUAUUAUCAUGUAAAAUUGCAAUUUAAUAAUUGUCUAGCCACCCUAGCAUGUACUAGCAUCCACUUUGCUAGUACAGUCCAAUUCCAAGCACUUCUAGAUGGAUGGUAAAAAGCCAAGAAAGCACACAAUAAUCAAUAAAGCGAUUGCACACAGGAAUCUUUCUCCCCCCAUGUGAACCGGUUAUUCCACAUUCCACUCAUGCGCUUCCUCGCUAUAAGCCUAUAAAAGCGCACGCCCAACCCUAGCAUCCUGCACACGAGUCAUCUCAUACAAUUCCUAAGCACUUCACUAGUAGGCACUGCACACAAACAGCCCGCAAGCUCCAAGCUUCACCAGCAAUGGCUCACUACCAGGAGGUGGACUACUGCUGCUCGGAGGAGGUGAGGUCGAUGGCCAGCCCGGCCGGCUUCGGCCGCCACGGCGGCGUCCAGCAGCACGUCGUCAAGGAGAAGUUCGAGGAGGUCGACAAGGUCUCGCGCACCGGCGGACACGGCCCCGGCCACUUCGAGGCGCGCGAGAGCAAGUUCGAGGAGGACAUCAACACCGGCACCGGCGAGUUCCACGAGCGCAAGGAGAACUUCGCCGUCAGGGUCGAAUGAGAGAUGACCGGCUUCACGCCGGCUCCAUCGACGAUCGCAUAUCUCCGGACCUGAGGCCCGUACGUGUCACGUAUAUAUGUGCGUACGUGUGCUCCCCACGUGUCUGAUAGUAGUAUAAAUACAGUGUGUACGGCCGGGUAUGUAUUUCUGUGUGUACGUGCACACGCAGCCUGUGUACGAACUACGAAAAUAAGCUUGUGACCUAAAUAAAUAAAGCUUCCCCGUAAAGGCACGCAGUUUGUGAUGUGAAUCGGACCGUCUACAUACAUUGGUAUGUACUGUACUCCUAUAUACUAAGAUUAUACCGUACAUGUGGCGCAUUUUUCACCAGGCAUGGCACCUGGCCUGUACCUGUACGUUUGCGCAUCCUUGCUUGAACAUGCUUUGUGUUCCAGAGUAUCAUCAGAUGAGUGUCCAUGGUGACAACACUGAAAUUCAUGGGAAGAUCUCUACCUAGCAAAAUGUUGUUGUGCUAGCUCAUGAUCUAAAUGCUUGAAGGAUUGAAGCACGAAACUCAAAUAACACUCAAAAGGGGGAAAAGAAGAACACGUUUUUCUGCAGGUGAUGAACAAUUGUUCUUUUUACAGUGAUCGCCUAAUAUAACUGAACAUGAAUGUUGCUAAAUCAUUGAAGCCUUGAGUCAGAGUGUUCAGGCCAGCAGUAUUCUUUUGGUUAAUUGUGAAAAUUGAGACGUUUAUAGAUGAUGUAGGUUUUAACAUGUUGUUUAUAGAAAUUAUCUCAUCAUCUGAUGAGAGUCUGACCACACAUGCAGAGAAAUGUGCAAAUUUCUAUUUGUAUCCUUUCAGACUCUCUCUUUUUCUUUCUUUCUCAGAUACACAUGAGGGGAUGCAUAUCGUUGUGAGCAUAGCAUGAUAGAACAGGUUAUGCUUUUUUAAACCAACAGAAUAUAGGUUAGUAAAUAGCAAUUUCAUGCAUAUUAUGAAUGGACGAUGGGUCAAGAAUUGUGGAUUAACCAAAGCCAAAUAGACAACAUGCCUUGCAGUUUCUUUAUUUCUUGUUGUUUGUGUUGCUGCUGUUGUUCUUGUAGUUGUGUCAAGUCUGGAAAGGCUUCAGUCGUCUGGGAAUUUGGAGUUGUUUGUAUUUCUUUAAAAUUCUUCUUCUAAUAAAAAUUACGACAAAUCUUUUGCCGUUCCCUUUAGAAAAAAACAACAACAUGCCUUGCAGUAAAAAAAAAAUAACAAUUAAACAACCAUUGGACAAAAGUUGCAGCAGAGUCGCUUGAAUCUGAAAUAUAUUGAUUAAAGUACCAAUUAUGCUUCCUGAUAAAAGCAAAAUAUAAUUCUCGUACACAAAAACUAUGGAUUUCGUUAGUUUGCCAGCUGGCCUCACAGGCUCACAGCUCCCUCAUUCAGUUUAUGUCCUUUUUUUAGUUUCUACUUGUCAUGAACAGAAUUAUAAUUGGUUCUUAUGUUAAUUUGUUUUCUUUUGUCUUGUUGUGUCCUUGUUCCUCAUACAAAAUAUUAAGACUGGGAUUUUUUUUCAUUUAGUGAUUGCUUCUGGCCCAAUGAUAUCUAUUCUUGUACAAUAUAACAAGUGUAAACCGGUCAUCAUCAGGAUGCGUAUCGAUCAUUUGCACAAAAAAAGAAAACCCCUCUUCCCCUUGCCUUGGACAUAUCUUGAUAUCUGCCUACCAUCCAAGCCCUUUUGUUAUUCCAUUUACACUCUGCUUCAAUCCACACAGCUAGCUUCUUCAAGCUUUUUAUCUCAUUCAGAAAAAUUCCUCGGCAUCGGUCUGUGUAAAAAUUCGCCUCGAGUUUUCUUCCAUCUUCGAUCCGAACGUGCAGGUGGCACUGCUCGGCAGAAAGCAGUGAGCGCGCACGUAUCUUUCAGAACAAGUUCCCUGCUCCACUCAUGCAUGCACCACGUCCGAUCCUUUGCCACAGCAUUCCUUCCACAGUUCCAUCUCAAUCAUGCAUCUGCUUGCACACUAUAAAAUCCCGGCCCAGUCCAUGUAUCCUGCAUCCAUCGAUCAGGUCUCAGCAUUGCAGAUCGAACAGACCAGCAGUGCUGAACACACAAACUUGGCUGCUAUUCACUGCAACUCAGGUGGCACCGCCGCCAUGGCGUACUACUCGGAGUCGGGCUACUGCUCGGAGGACGUGAGGAGGCCGUACGCCGAGCCGGGGCACUACCACGGCGAGGGCGGCGAGCGCUACGCCGUCCGCAAGGAGUACGAGGAGAUCGACGAGGUGGCGCGCGCCGGCAGGGGCCACUACGGCCACGGCCACCUCGGUCGCAGCGGCAGCCACCACCACGCCGGCCAUGCUGGGCACGAGGGGUCGUGCCAUGGGCACCUCGGCGGCGAAUACCGCGAGCAGCACCACCUGCACGGCCACGGCCACGGCGGGCGACACUACGACGCGUGCGAGAGCAGGCGCUACGACUCGGGCACCGGCCAUCAGUACUACGCUUGAGGCUUGAGCUGGGAUCGGACGGCCGAGGUGAACGGUCACGGUCAUCGUCAUGUCAGGGCUCCUACCAUCCUGAGUCCUGAGUCCUGACAGGGAGCUACUAGCUGCUGGUACUCCGUCUUAUUAUGUAUACGAGAAUAAGACCGUGAUGAUGAAUAAAGGUUUUGCGUGCUUCCAGGGCGGGCACGCCCUGUGUUUUUAAACAUUACUGUUUGAUUGAUCUCUACGGCUUUGGAGGUUGAGAAGAACAAAAAAUGAGUUCGAAACCGUCGCCAUGGAGGCGAUCCCUGAAGCUAUGCUUGAGCUCGCCUACGGGCGCGCGCAGAGGUCGCCAUGGAACCAGCCCCGCGCCGCCUCCGGAGGCCGAGCGAGGAUGAGACAUUUUAACGAACAGGUACAGGACACGCCGCCGCCGCGCCACCUUUGCUCCAACUCCAAGCCGGCCAAGCGAUCCUGCCCAUCCCCCUCUUCUUCAGUCUCGGCGGAUCACCAUUCACCAGGGCCGCCUCUGGCAUCCGAGCCCGAGGAAGGCGCCGGGUCGCCAUAGGUCCAAUCUGAGCCACACAAGCUCGAUCGGACGAGUCAUAAUCACCUAAGGGGUGGACACGGUGGGUGGUCGGUAUCUCAAUUCUCAAACAACGUCACCCCCGCCCCGCGCCACCCCCCCCCCCCCCCCCCCCCAACAACAAAAAACACCCCCCGGGUUCGCGUAGAACGCCGCCUCCGGCUUGACGCUGCGGCUCGCCGGAGCGCCACCGCCGCCUGUCUGGCCAUCCUCUCCCUCUUCUAGUCUUCUAGCUUCCUCCUGGAUGCCUCGCUUCGCUUCCUGCGCCAUCUCGCAUCUGGCGACGCACUCGCGCUCUCUCAGCCAUGGCUCGUCGUUCGGUGAUUUCUGCUGUGAAGGCCCGGACGGCCGGACUGGCUGCUGAGCAUGGCAGACAUGGCGCGACCCUAAGCUUGUAGAGCUUGCAGCGAUCGCUCACGAAGCAUAACCAUGGUAAAAGUUGGAAAAACCUUCCUUUCAAAAAAUAAAGUUGGAAAAUCAUACUCGAGAUAUCCGGCUAGAGAGCGACCAAUCCGUUCUUCCUCUUCAGCAUGCGAGGGAAUCAUUUCGGGUCCUCCUCCAUGCCCAAUAUUUGCCCCGGUCAGUGCCAGGGAAGCAGCUCCGAUCCGUGGUUCUACCAAUGAGUGUCAGGAGCAGCAGUUUUUCCUGUUUGCACAAGCUUUAAUUUAUGCGUAUUGAAAAUCACAGAUAUUCUGCAUGAUAUCUUAACAAUUCAGUACUGACAGACUGUGAAUUCCUAAUCGUCUCUUUUAUCUAUCAUUUUCCACUUUCUGUAUCUUUAGCUUUCUCCUGGAAACAGCAGCAAUACUCAAAUGAGUCGCCACUUUCAGGUGCUGGGAUGAAAUAAGAGCUCUACGCCAGCAACACGGAUCAAAUGUGUUCUUGUCCUCAAGUGUAUACUGCUGCCAACUUGCUUCAUCUUCAGUUUACAAGAACAGACACGAACCAUGAGAACGAAGAAGAAAUGAAACUCUGACCAAAGUAGUUACGAUGGCAGAAUUUGUACGCUACAUAUCCUGUCUCUGUUUGAUGAUUUCCUACCUGGCUAAAGGACCCUCUGCAAACCGACGGCGCGACAUAUAGAGACGGGUGGACGGCAGGCCGUGUUCGUUCGCAGUUGGGCUGUGCGCUAGAGAGCGCGCGGCGCACGCUGCUGAUGACUGGCCGAUCAGCGAAUGGCGCAAAGCGAUUUAGGAGCCGGUCGGUCUUAUGAUCGCCGCGGGCCGCGGUUAAGAAGAACAAAAAUGAGCUCAAAACAGUCGGCCAUGGAUGUGAUCCCUGACGCUAUGGUUCAGCUGGCCGGGCGCGCACAGAGCCACAUAGGUCGCGUUGAAAUUUGGAACCAACCCCGCGCCCCCCACCGGAGGCCGAGCGGGGUUGAGGCAUUUCCAAGAACACGUGAAGGUCGCGCCGCCGCCACUGGUGCUCGGAGCCGGCCGAGCGAUCCAGCCAUUCUCCGCUUCUUCAGUCUCGGGCUCUCGGCGUGCCGCCAUGGCCGCUUCUGGCAUCUUGGCCUGACGAGGAAAGCGCCUUCCCGCCUUGGGUCUAAUCUGGACCACACAGGCUCGAUCGGACGGCUUGUAGGCACCCAAAGGGUGGACGGUAUUUGAAAUACCGUCCACCCGGUCGGUAUCUGAAAUAACGUCCGCCGCCUGGGUCGCAUGGAACGCCGCCUCGGCUUCACGCCACGGCUCGCCGGGGCGCCACCGUUGAAUGUCUGGCCAUCCCUUCCAUCUUCUUCCUCCUGGAUUCGUCGCUUCCGGCGCCAUCUUGCAUCUGGUGACGCUCCCGCGAUCUCCCAGUCGUGGCUCGCCAUUCUGUGCUUCUGUCGUCGCAGUUGAAGGGCCGGACCGGCUGCUGAGCAUGGCAACCAUGGCGCGCGCCCAAAGCUUGUAUAGCAUCCAGUUCAUGUAAACAAGGUAUGCGCAUAAGAUGAGAUGACGUUCCAGCGCUCAUACACCGGCAAGCCGGUGCACGGGAGGUCGGGCGCAGCCGCGCCCACGAAAUUACGGUGGCGAUGGAGCUCGGUGGCACCAUCGCGCGCCAAUUUGGCCAACGGCGCAGCGGGUUAAAAGCCGGCCACCAAACCACUCGGCACGCACGGCACGACGAGACACGAAUCGCACCCGGCGCGAGCAAGCAUGCGAUGUGGCUGUCUGCGCUGCACACGGCGCUGCGGCGGCCAUGUUCUUCGAACGGGGAUUAUGCGAAACGAGCGCCGCGGCGCCGCAGUGGGGGAAGAAUGUACGAUUUCCACCAAAUUAGCAGCCGCUGUGCUCAUGCCGCCAUAUCAAGGAUUGCCGCCUGGUACCGUGCUACCAGAGUACUAAAAUUCGCCGCCAUGGACGAGACCUCUGGUUUGCUAAAGCUCCUGCUAGCUUACGGCUAGCGCAGAGGCGCACACAGAGGCCCCGCGCCACCGCCGUAGGGUGAUCGGAGGGAUGAAUUUACACAAACAUGUGCCGUCCGGCGCUCGCGCCGCCGCCGCUGGCCCGAGGAGGAAGACGUCUCCCGCGAUGCACCUAAUCCGGGCCGUAAAAGUCUGAUCCGACGGUAAUUAGGCACCCUUUGGUGGACUGUAUUUCAAUAGCGUCCACCCGGACGGUAUCUGAAACAACGUCCGCCCCUGUGGUCGCCAGCAACACCGGGUAGCUCUGCUUCACGCCGCGGGCCAAGCUCGCCGUUCAGUCGUAUGUGAAGGGCCGGACCGGCUGCUGGCCUCCUGGCUCCUGGCAUGGCUGCGCGAGAAUGAGGUCGCCAAGGGUGGGCGGCGUCGGCGGCUGCGCCAAGCCCAAGCACCGCCACCAAGUCGCACGAGCAGCUCUGGCGUUUGUGUAUUUUGUGUAUCGACCAACUUCGUGAUCUGCACCCACCGCAUCAAACAGGGAGCACAAUUUACUUGCCGAGCACCCAGGGGGUGCCAGGACGCACGGUGCAUGUGAUUCAGCUCACAAGCCGAUCGGUUUUAGGAUCACCCAUCACUGCCGGCAUGGACGAGGCCUCUGACGCUAUGCUUCAGCUGGCCUAUGGGCCGCGUCUGAACCAGACCCGCGCGCCCCAGUCGGAGGCCAAGCGGGAGCGAGGCAUUUCCCCGAGCACGUGCAGGUCGCUCCACCGCCGCCGCCGGCGCCGCCCGAAGCCGGACAAGUGAACCAUCCUCUUCUUCAGUCUCGGCGGGCCCCUGUGUGGCCUCCGACGUCCGAGGAAGACGGCUCUCGCCACGGGUCUAAUCUAGGCCGUUCAAGCUCGAUCAGACGUUUCGCAUGUACCUAGUGGGUGGACGGUAUUUGAAAUACCGUCCACCCCCUGUGGCCGCGAGAAACGCCGCCUGUGCUUCACGCCGCGGCUUGCCGGGCCUCCGCCGCUGUCCGCCGGACCUUUGUUCCCUCCUCUUCCGCUUGGAUGCGUUGUUGCCUGCAACCUGCUACCUCUUGCAUCUAGCGAGGCAGGCACACGGGCCCGCGCAGCCCUGGCUCGCCGUCCGUCAGUCGGAGGUGAAGGACCGGACCUGCUGCUGCAGGCAUGCAUUGCGAGCGGCCAAGCAUGCAGAGUACAAGAGACUGCUCAACUGCUGAAGCGGCAUACGCAUGAUUCAGUACUGUCAGACUCUGUAAAAUGGUCUCAUCCGCCUCUCUUUUGAGCUUUCACUCUCUAGUCUUUACCUCAGUUUUUUCAAGAAACAGCAACACCCAGCUGUUACCUUACCACUGCUAGAUUCUGAGGUGAAACAAGAGCUCCAACAUCAGCAGUAAGGAAUUAAGGAUCAAGUUUAUUGUUGUAACAUCCCAGAUUUUCCGGAAUGUUAAAUUAGUGCAAAAUCGUGAAUUUCAAAAACUUUUUGUGUUGUGCCUUAGUUAGAACCUAAAUAUAAGAUUAAGUUCUCGCUACCUCAAGAUCCUAGUAAAUUUAACUUGAAACUGAGGACCAUUAAAUGUUAGUGUGAUUAAUUGAAGUCCUUUCGGAUUUAAUUGCAAUCUUCCUUGAUUUGAAAUUGUUGUUGGAUUUUACUUGAUUGAAAUCUCCAUAUUGCUGCUUUAAUUGUGUGGGAUUUGAAUUUGAUUAGGCCAAUCAAAGUCAAAUCCAAAAACCUACCCUCUAAAACCCCUCAUGGGCCACCAGCCCAAGCCAGCACAGCCAGCCCGCGAGCACGGCCCAGCUCUCCUCUUUCUUCCUUCCCCCGCGCAGCACAACCCGCGUGCACGGCCCACACGGCCCACAGACCACCGCUGGCCCAGCACACCGUCGCCGCCCGCGCGACGCUUCACCUUCCCCCGGGGUGACUGACGAGCGGGUCCCACCCGUCAGCCUUCCUCUUCCCCCUUCUCCCGUCACGACCCGAAGCUUCUGCUCCGCCCCGCAGCGCUCUGAUCCGCCCGCAAUGCUCCGCUUCACCCCCGCAGCUCCGCUCCGCCCCCGCAGCUCCGCUCCGCUCCGCCUCGCGUCGCCGCUCGCCCCGCUCCGCGACAGGGAGCCCAACCGCCGCGCCCUUGCUUUCCCCUCCACCCGCGCCUUUUUCCCUUUUCUCCCCCGCCGCGGCCCCGCUCGCUCGCAUCACCAGCCAGCACCGCGCCCCGCUUGUCCCCGCUCCGCGACGAGGGAGCGAAACUGCCGCGCUGCGAACCCUAGCCGCGCUCCCUCCGACGCCGCGAUGCCGCCACGCGUCCUGGCCCGGACGCUAAAAAACCCCGGCCGCAGCCGCUCCCGAACCCUAGGGCCGUCCCAUAAGAACCCCACGGCCGCCGCCUGAAGCCCUAGCCACCCGCGCCCCUUUUCCCUUCCCGCCGUCGCCGCACCAGAGAGAGGGAGAGAAGGAGGAGGAGCAGUGCAAGGAGGUGGAGGACGACGAGCUGCGCGAGGAGGAGAAGGCCGUCGCCGCCGGAGCUCCGCCACGCCUGCGCCCGAACGAUGACCCCGACGCAGCCGCCCGUCCUUCACAACCUCGGUCCGCCUACGCCGACCCGUCACUGCGCCAAGGACCUCGCCAGCGAGCCCUCGGUGAGCGCCGCCGCUACCUCACCCUUCCUUUCCCCCACUGCUGCCGGCGAUGCCGAUGAACCAUCCGUAGUAGACCCCUAGUGCCCUACCCUUGUCUUGUGCAGGAGCCCGUCGCGCCGCCUAACGAGCCGCAGCCGCCGCGUCGUGCCGCGGGCCCGGGAUUCCGGUGCCCCGCGCACGGCACGGCCACGCCGCGGCCCUGGGAAGCCAGGCCCCGCGCGCGUGCGUGCGCACCCGCGCCGCGAGGCCGAGCCCUGCCCUUGCCUCGCCGCGCCGCCGCUAGCCUCACCUUCACCGUACCGCGCGCACGCACGCCCCCGCACAGACCGACACGGCCGUGCCUGCCUUUGGCCACCCUUGCCUCGCCGCCGUCGCCACGCCACGACCCCGCCACGGCCUUGCCGUGCGUGGUGACCACGCGCCACCGCCGGGACGUCGCGUUCGCGUCGCGGCUAGGCCAUUGAGGCCUUUCCCCGAGCACCCUUCGGGCGCCACACACACACCCGCGGCUUCUGCACACGCACGCAGACACCCUUGCCCGCUGCACUGGAUCCAGACGAUGCCGCACCAAAUCCCACCGAGGCCGACACGUGGGACCAACCUGUCAGCGAGGAGGGGAAGGAGCAGAAGCAAACCGGCCAGCGAGGAGGAGGAGGCGAAGGGAGGAGGCCAUCAGCCCGCCGCGGCCCGAGAAGCGCAACAAGGCCCAAGAUGAGCCAGUUAGCCCGAGGAACCGAGCCGGCCUGCUGAGCCGCAGGCCGAGCUGACCCCGCGAGCCAAGCCGAGCCUGUUGGGCCGAACGGGCCGGCCCAGCUCCCUUGGGCCCAGAACUAGUCCGAGCCCUUUUUCCUUUUCUUUUCCCAGCCUGACCCGAGGGGCCCACCUGUCAGCCUCGGGGUGAGGCUGACCGGUGGGACCCGUUGACCGUGGAUCCCCUUGACCGUUGACCGACGUCAACAGGGCCCACUGCUGACGUCAGCAGACCCGGACCCCCCUGAUGACGUUAUUCUGACAGCAUGCCACGUGGCACGCCCUGGUGCUGCCACGUGUCACUGUUUAAUGAUUUUCUUUUCCGAAAUUCUUUUAUUAAUUUCAGAAAUAGGUUUUCUCUUAGAAAAUUCAUAAUAAAUCGACUGGACCUCCAAAAAUUAUGAAACCAAUUCCAUAAUUCUUCUAAAAUCAUAAACCACCCGUUAGAGUAGGUUUUGUGGUGAUUUGGAUCUUAUUUGUAGAGUUUUGUGCAUUUUUGCACUUUGGUCCCUACUCUUACUCGUAUUUACGAAUAGGACCCGACCACGAGGAGUUGACCGACGGCCAGGACUAUCCGAAAGCCCAGGAGGACUUCGAAGAGAUGCCAGGUUCACACCCAUCUAUGAUUUGAAUACCUAUUAGGCAUUGCUUGAGUAGAAAUGCUAUCGCUAUGUGUGUAACUUUACCGAGAUGAACCUGCAUGGCCUAAUUUAUGGACCUUACUUCUUGUCAUCCUAUCUCACUUGUUUAUUAUAUGAAAUGCCUUGCAAAUCCUUGAAUGUGUAUGUGUGGGAAUGGAUGGACAGUCUUGGCGUGUGUGAAGUGGUACUCUUCAGGUGUUGGUGAUUAGGGUUUUAACCGGGAGUGGGCAACCUAACUCGAUCAUGGAUCGAGGGCUUGGGGUGUGUAUCUUGGCACAUCCUACGGAAUACCUGUGGCGGGUACAAUUUUGGUUACGAGGUUGAGGUGUUGGGGGCACCCGUUAAGGGUGCAGUCGCAGACCACCGUGGUGGAGACGCUUUUGACGAAGAUGCCCGCUUCGGCAAUUAAGGACCGGGUGAGAGUAACUAUGACUUAUGGGAAUCUGUUAAGCGUGCACACCACUUACCCAUUAUGAGGGUGGGCCCGGUCCGGGGUUAGCAAGCGCGGUACCAAGCCGGUGGGAGGAUCAAGUAUCAGUGCAGGGGAAGGAGGUGCUAACCUUACGUUCCCCGAGACGCAUGGGAGGCUUCACAGUCCCGGGGCGACCUCCCGUGGGAGGAUGCGCCCAAGACACGGGAAAGCCGGAUGGUGCCGUGGCUCCUAGUUCCGUUUCAGUAGACCGGUGUUUCGUAUAUUAGUCGUCUGAUCUCCGGCUAGUGUCGAUUCGAGUGUGUCCAGGUGUACAACCCCUGCAGGGUAAAAACUAUACGUAUAGCCGCGUCCUCAGUCAUGGACAUCCCUACUCUUCUGUUGCUCUUAUUAGUUAGUGUUACUCGUGACUUCUACCUCCCUCUAGUAUAACUUCCUGCCAGGGGGCAGCUGAGAUGCGAGGAAAGGGAGUUCUCGCAUCGACUUGGUGGUUUGGAAGGUGUGCGUUGACCGGGAGUCCGGGAUGCCGGAAGGGCCCGAGUCGGGAAUGGGAGGAGAUGUGUAUACUUAUAUGUAUAUAUUGCAUGCAUAGGAAAACCUCAGCUUUACCUCUUGAGCUUUGUUAUUUCCAUAGUAUAGACCACGAUAAAGCUUGCAUUCAGAUGGUGGCGUGAACCUAUCCCAUUCCUUGGGGAUAGUCUGGUACGAUGCAGGAUCCGAUCCGGAGUUCGACCCCAACGACGACGGUUGGUACGACUGAAGCCCGUGCUACGCUCAAGUCGCCUGUGGAGAAGGUUCCCGAAGAUGAAGGACGGUCGAAGACCUAGCUACCGCUUUGCGCUUUCUGCAUGUUCGCCUUAGCCGAGAGGCUUGUAAUAAAUUCCGUACUACAGAUCAUUUGGAUUUAUGUAAUAAUUAAACCCGUGUUUGACCCUAUGCGAAGUAUGACUGUGAUAUUAUGACUGACAUGAGUCCUGUAUGUGAUAGCGCUUGAUCCAGGGACUAUCACAAUGAUACAGGGAGUCGGAUUUCUCGAUUUGGGAAUCCGGUUCAUUUCAAUUGUUGUCCUCCAUUGUCUUCUUGCUGCUGCCAAGAUGCUUCAUCUUCAGUUUACAAGAGAGAAGAAGUGAACUGCUGCAUCUUCAGUCUGACGGAUGUGCAGUCGAUGUCCAGUUUCUUCAGAUCUCUGCAGUUCAUAAUUCCAUUCAUCCUGCUGUUUCUCCGAAGAAACUACUUGCCCAAUGCCCAUAUCUCCCAUUCCUCACUUUUACAAUUGAGAACGACUGAUUUUGCGACAGAGCACACUGGCCGUACCAUCUGCUCUUGGUUAGCUCUGUGCUCUCAGAAAGUGAACAGAGCUCACUGAACUUUCAGGCUCUGAAAUAUCUCUUUGUUGGGACUGCAUUUUUGGCCUCUCCAAUGUUUGAGUUCAGUUCCUUCUUUUCUCCGUGUCAGCGACCUCCUAGCUACACUAUGCUAUCUUGAUCUCUUGGAUUCCAUUUGCGAGUUGACGGUCGCAUUAGUUGGGCAAUUCCUACACUUUUUGUGAAGGCACUGUGUAUUGCUACUCUGACUGACGCACUAAUGAGCCACGCAAGCAAUAUACGAUCGAAAUCAUCAGUGAUCCGCAUCGUAAUGCAAGUGCUGCGUAUUUUUUCUACUAGCUAGCAAGAAGGCAAAAACAAGCCAUCAAUUAUGGGACGCGAAUAUAAUCUUAUUUGCUGCUUUACCAUUUACAGGUUGAGCCGGACCUUUGCUUUUUAUCAUCUUGGGAGUGUAUGCCGCCAUGCCCAUGCCCACGACGAACUUGAUGCCUGCGCUGGCCUGGCGGCUCCCCUGAGUGGGCUUGAAGAAGAAUAAAGCCAUGGAUCAGGUCGGAGUGGUGUUUUGUUCAAAAGAAGGGGGUCGGAUCGUGGAGCACUUUCUGUUCGUCCUACCCUACCACUACCAGCCCGGAACAAAUGCUGCUGCAAUCCACAGUGAAAACGCAUGCAGAGCUAAGCACUGGCGCACCUAUAAAACGCGACCCCAAGCCGAUCGAUCCAUGCAGCGCCAAGAGCCACAACGAUCCAAGUGCGAAGGCACAGGUAAGUAGGUGACGCAGGGGGGAAGCAGCAACCAGGCGCUGUAUAUGAUGUUGAGGGGCACGCGGAGGAGGAGCGCCUGCCUCGCCGGCGGCAACGACCAGGCGCCACCCGCCAUGAACUACCACCGCGCGCACUCCGAGCACGUCACCAAGGUCGCCGGGAACCCCUGCCACACCGCCGGCGGCCACAACAACCACGCCCUCCAGCAGCAGCAGCAGCAGCAGGCGCACCGCCACCACGGGUACAACAACAACAACAACCACGGCGGCGGCGGCUCCCACCGCUACGAGACUUACGAGGAGACCUACGAGGAGACCUGCGAGGAGAAGACGACGUACAGCGCCGGCCGCCACCACGGGCACGGGCACGACGGCGGCGGCGCGCGCCGCUACGAGUACGAGACUUACGAGGAGACCUGCUACGAGGAGGAGCAGGAGGUCGUGGGCGGCGGCGGCGGCGCCCAGCUCAAGCGCGGCUACCGCUGCGCAUGAGCGAGCAGCCAUUGCGCCAGCCGCCAGCUACCCUGUGGACGCGGCGAGUCCAUGUUGGCAGAGACCACGAUGAUGCAUGCAUGGGGUACACUGCAGACUGCACUGCAGCUCAAAUUAAAUAAUUAAUCCGACCGGGCUAAUCCUACCCAAAUAAAUUGUACUCCCACAGUUCAUCUGUGCUCUGCAUCCGCCGUAAAACAUAUUGUGCCUGCUUGUUUGAUUUGGCUCGUGUUUGUUUGUCUCCUGCAAAUUUGGAAUCGCGUCAAAGAAGUCGAUCUCUUGCAAGGCCGAAUCGGACGAAGGUGAGCGAUAGAGAUUUGGCUGACGUCUCUCCCUCCCUCUCGAUCGAUACCUUCCGGCAGAGGGAGCGCCUAGUCUUUCGUGAAGGCACUGUAUCUCUAUGGCGACCUGGCACGGUUACACUGAGGGUCUAUUUGGAUGGAUUAAAGUUAAGUGAUAAACUUUAGUACCUAUUAGUAUUCAUGUCUCGUACUAAAGUUUUUAGUUUUGGUUAAAAUUUAACCUAUCCCAUUAGCACUCCUAUUUAGAUAAGCUAGCGCUAAAGUUUAGCACUUUUAAACGUUAGCACUUGAUCUAAACACCCUCUAAGCCACGCAUGCUAUAUAAGAUCGAAAUCAUCAGUGGUCCGAUUGUAAUGCAAGUGUUGCGUGUUUCUGUUACUAGCUAGCAAGAGGCAAAAAUAAGCAAUCACAACCAUCAAAUAUGGCACGCGAACAGGAUCCUUCCUUCUUUACCAUUUUUGGCCCACAACUAGAGGCCUGCGAUUUUUAAUAUGCCAAGAUUUUUAAUUCCGUGCUUGAAUCGAAUGCUGGUGUCCUUCGUCGUUGCAUCUCGGAUCUUCAGUUGUGGCAAUGCCGGGUUGCCUCUCCUGUGGAGAAAUUUGUUUUAGAAGAAUGGCGUCUUUUCCUAUCAAGUAAUAUGUAACUUAGCUCUGUAAGCUAGUUGGUUCUCUCCUCUCCCUUGCUCCUUUUGAGCGGCUAGCUCUUCUAUUUCCUGCCUUGUAACUUUGCUGCUCGAGUUAAUAUAUGGUUCAGGCCGGUCCAGUAGGUCCGCCGUAGUUCGUCUAAAAAAAAAAUGCCUGCGAAGGUCCUGACUCACCUGAGUGGGCUACUCACUACUGGGCUUGGAAGAAUAAAGCCAUGGAUCGGGUCGGAGCAUCGUCUGUCUGUCUGUCCUACCUACUCCUAUCCCCAGUGAGAAAUGCGUGCAGCUAAACACUGCUAGUGCCCUAAGCACCUAUAAAAGACAACCCCAAGCCGAAUAGCCGAUCGAUCCAUAGCGAUCCAGGUGCGAAGACACAGGUAACGCAGGGGCAGGGAAAGAAAUCACCUUGCCACCACCCACCAGCUGCCAUGCGGAGGAGUGCCUGCCGCGGCUACGGCCAGCCGCAAUCAGCCAUGAACUACCAUAGCACGCACUCCGAGCACGUCACCAAGGUCGCCGGGAACCCCUGCCAUGCCGCCGGCAGCCACAACAACCACGCCCUCCAGCAGCAGGCGCACCGCCACCACGGCUACAACAGCAACAACCACGGCGGCGCUUCCCACCGCCGCUACGAGACUUACGAGGAGACCUACGAGGAGAAGACAACGUACAGAGCCGGCCGCCACCAUGGGCACGGGCACGGCGGCGGCGGCGCGCGCCGCUACGAGUACGAGACUUACGAGGAGACCAGCUACGAGGAGGAGCAGGAGGUCGUGGGUGGCGGCGGCUGCGCCCAGCUCAAAUGCGGCUACCGCUGCUCAUGGGCUAGCGAGCAGCCAGCGCGUCAGCAAGCUCUCGGGCACCCUGUGGAUGCGGGUCCCUAUCGGUAGACGCCACGCUGAUGCAUGGGAUUACACUGCACACUCUGCAGCUCAAAUAAUCUGGUGACGACCGGGCUAAUCGUAACUAAAUAAAUUGUACUCCCACAGUUGAUCGGUGCUCUGCAUCCACCGUAUAAAAAUCGCUGCCUACUUGUUUGAUCUAGCUCGUGAUUGCUUGUCUCCUGCAAAUUUCGGAUCGCGUCAAGAAGUCGUCUGCUGAGUGCUGAAUCGAACCGAAGGUGAGCGAUAUAGAUUUAGCUGACGUCUCUCCCUCCCUCUCGGCGCAUCCCCGGCAGAGGGAAGUCGUUGUCUCUUUGCCCCCAAAACGCUCUGUUUGGAGGUGAUCAGGUUCAGGUGAAGGACCGGACCUGCUGCCUGCUGAUGUUCCAUUUGAGCUCUAAGCAUUUGGUGCCAAGAAUCAUGGCAUGUGUCUGUAUACCAUAACUAAUUCCAAAGCCCCACUGAACAUGUGCACCUGCGCGGACUAGAAAUGUUUUUAGAAAAUAUAUGGACUAGACCUUUUGUGAAAGCACAAAUGCCUAUGAUUUAGGAUUUAUAAGUGAUUAAUGUGUGCACAUCAACCAUGCUUUCUUGCUAUAUGUAUUCCCCUAUUGAAUCAGAGCCUUUGCUGUUGUACAGUUUUUUUUAUCUUGAUUUUUCCUCGCAUUAACAAUUUUUAUUAUAUAUGUAUGUGUGGCCAUCCAUGGUACUCUCAACUUUGAUUACCAGACGACUCCACUCCAUGCUCGGGAGAGAAAAACAUAAAUCAAUGUCUUGGCGAAAACAUGACACUUGAGUUAAUUUUGACUUCGGUAUGAUGCAUGGGUAAUUUAGAAGCGGGUAUUUAGGUUAGCUUUUCAUAGUGCAAGAAGGGGGAGCAGGAGUGGGGUGCCUCGGAUUAUUAUUUUCAUAAUGACAAAUUAAAUGUAUACAAUUAGAAGUAGGUACUUACCAUACUUUUUGUAUUAUUUGUUCAUAACCAAAAAGGGUAAUUCAAAAACGCAUGCGAGGUUACAAGGCUGUUUAUUGUUGCCAAUGAUGAUUAGAGUCCACCGACGACACAAUCAAUAUUAGAACCGCAAGCCAUACAUGGUCAUAUUAUAACGAUCGACAUGCAUUGUAACCUUAGGUGCUACUUAUUAUGCUAGUAUCUUAGAGCAACUCCAAGAGACUCUCUAUAUCUUUCCUCAUUGUUAUCUUGUUGUUAGGAAUAGAGAUUUUGGUGGAAAAUAUCCUCCAACAGCUUCUCCAAGUGGUUAUUCAAAUGUAGCCAUCCUCCGUUCCUUAUUUCCCGCUAGCCAAAGAUAGAUAAUGAAAAUAAUUUCUAGAGUGUACACGAGAUAUAGAAAAGUUGUUGGAGAGGAAAAAUAUAUAGAAAGCGAUCUUUAUGCAGAAGGCUCUUCAAAUAAUAAUUUAGAGAGUGAAAUUUAGAAAGACUUUCAAGAUGCUCUUACACUGGAAUAAAAAUUAGGCCACAAAAUAUAAAUAGCAGCAUGGAAUAGGAUCGUAGCUAGAAUGAGUGCGUGCACCAUCACGUGACGUAUAUAAGGUUGAGCAAUCCAUGGAAGGAAUCCUUGAACGCUGUAAGGACGACAUGAUGAUAAGCAUUCCUGCUAGGCAACUUGUAAAAAGAGUCCAUCAAAUAUGGCGCGCGAAUAGGAUAUCUUCUCGCUUUUCCACUCAAUGAUCGCAGUAGAGGCGUGAUGCCUCCUCACAUUAUAAGAUGCCUCGAUUAUACAAGCCGGAGUACUACACGCAGGCACACAGCUCCGUCGAUCUGGUUCGACCGGCCGAACAAUCGCAAGAUGCCUGACUGGAUAUAAAGCGAGCAACGGAUCACCGAGCACAUAUCCAUUGCCGCCGGCCAGCAACCACCUUGCCUUCGAGACCAGCAAGUGGCCGGGUCGGGCACAGAUGCUCCCGCUAGCUCUCGCCGCGGCGGCGUCUAUAAAACGGCCGGACCCAGGCAGAGCCAGCCACGCCAACACAGAGCAAGCCGCGGCCUGAGCAAGAAGAGACCUAGCUCCAGCGCCAUGGAUGCGGUGGUGAAGCGUGGCUACGGCGGCUACGGCUACAGCAAGCCGCAGGUGAACUACCACCGCCAGAACACCGAGUACGUGACCACCGUCGUCACGGAGGUCAACCACAUGACCGUCAACGACAAGCCCAGCUGCGGCGGCGCCGGCGUGCAGAAGCAGGCCGCCUACAAGGAGAAGGAGGAGGUGUUCGUGGAGCACGACAAGGGGUCGGCGUACGGCGGCUGCCACGGUGGUGGCGCCGCCGUGCACAAGCAAUCCUCAUACAAGGAGGAGGAGUACGAGGGGGCCGCCGCCGGCGUGAAGAAGGAUGCCUACUACAAGCAGGAGAAGUACGGCGAGGCGGCCGGAGGGUACGGCGCCGGCGCACACUACGGCGGCGCCGCCGGCGUUAACAAGCAAGGAGGCUACAAGCAGGAGGCCUGCGGGGAGACCGACGCGGGGCACUACGGUGGUGGUGGUGCGGGCGCCGUGCAGACGUACGCCUACGACCAUCAGGCGGCGUACGGCGGCGCCAUCGGUGCCGCCGUGCAGCAGCACGGCUACCAGAAGGACGCGUACGCCGGAGCCGCGAAGAAGAACAGCUACAAGCACGAGUCGUCGUACGGCGAGUGCGACGCGGCAAAGUACGGUUCUCACUACGGUUACGGUGGCGGCGCCUACAAGCAUCACGAGAAGUACGGCGAGGCUGACGGAGGGUACGGCGGUGCCUACUACAGUGGCGCCGGCGUGAAGUACGGGUACAGUUUCACGCAGCUCCUCUGCAUGCUUCCGAGUGAUAUCACGCCAUGGGUCCAGAAUCUGCGCGUGACAGGCGUGGGCGGCGGCAAAGCCGCCGGAGGGUACCCUCUCCACCACGGCGGCGCGUACGGCUACGAGGCGCACGGGAAGGCGAGCAAGACGGGGUUCGCCGGCGGCUACCACCACAACAAGGCGUACGACUGCGAGAGCGAGAGCGACUCUGACGAGAGCGACUGUGAGGAGGCGUUCCCCCCGCGCGGCCCCACCAAGCAAGGCGGCGUCCACGGCUACGGGGCGGCGUACAAGCACGAGAAGCACGGCGCCGGCGCCGGCUACGGCUACGGCACGUGCUCCCCGCUCAGCUACGGCGCGUAGGCAUACGCCCCGGAUCCAGUUGCCCCCUGCCAUGUCGUACGUGUGCCGGCACUUGGUGGAUGGUGUGGCCGGUGAUGCAGCUAAAUAACUUAGUAUCUAUCUAAAAAUAAGAGACGUACUUUCUGCAACCAUAAGAUAAUAAUGUAUGAUGAUGAAACUCAUGAACAUGUUGUGUAUGGGUGAUUUCCAAACUGAUUAUGCAACCAAGAUGUUCAGGGCAGAUACUGAUGGCGUGGCUGUAUGGCACAAGUGCUGUUCCAAGACAAGUAAUUUGCAUGUUAAAAACGAGCGAAAAAAAAAACUUGCCAACGUGCACCAGGUCAACAAGGGG